AUGGGCCAAGCAAACAGAAAACCAACCGAAAACAGCUUAAAUUCAGCCCAGAGAGCAGUGAACAUUCAGCCAGGAGGCCUCGGCCCAGCCCAGGAGCAGCUCCCAGGGCAUUGCCCUGUGCCAGAGGGAGCAGGAUGGGCACAGAGCCAGCCCCAGCUCCCAGCCCGCCGGGAUCAGCACAUCCAGACCCCAGAGAGCAGAUCCACGAUCCCAGGGAACAAAUCCAGCAUCCCAGGGAGCAGAUCCAGCAUCCCAGGGAGCAGAUCCAGCAUCCCAGGGAGCAGAUCCACAAUGCCAGGGGACAGAUCCAGCAUCCCAGGGAGCAGAUUCAGCAUCCCAAGGAGCAGAUCCAGCAUCCCAGGGAGCAGAUCCACAAUCCCAGGGAGCAGAUCCACAAUCCCAGGGAACAAAUCCAGCAUCCCAGGGGGCAGAUCCAGAUCCCAGGGAGCAGAUCCAGAUCCCAGGGAGCAGAUCCAGACCCCAGAGAGCAGAUCCAGACCCCAGGGAGCAGAUCCAGAUCCCAGGGAGCAAAUCCAGCAUCCCAGGGAACAAAUCCAGCAUCCCAGGGAGCAGAUCCACAAUCCCAGGGAGCAGAUCCAGCAUCCCAGGGAACAAAUCCAGCAUCCCAGGGGACAGAUCCAGGACCCCAGGGAGCAAAUCCAGGACCCCAGGGAGCAAAUCCAGCAUCCAGGGAGCAAAUCCAGACCCCAGGGAGCAGAUCCAGACCCCAGGGAACAAACCCAGCAUCCCAAGGAGCAGAUCCAGGACCCCAGGGAGCAGAUCCAGAUCCCAGGGAGCAGAUCCAGCAUCCCAGGGAGCAGAUCCAGACUCAGGAAGCAAAUCCACAAUCCCAAGGAGCAGAUCCACAAUCCCAGGGAGCAGAUCCAGACCCCAGGGAGCAGAUCCAGCCAGAGACACCCUGGCACACCCCGGGGCAGAGCUGCCAGCCCUGCCCCGCCCGUGCCCAUCUCCACUGCCAACCCCGCCUCGAUUAGAAACCCGUUAAUUCCUCCCGUUAAUUCCUCCCGUUAA
rnacentral:lncRNA from 1 species